rnacentral:rRNA from 1 species
AUUGAACGCUGGCGGCGUGCCUUACACAUGCAAGUCGAACGGCAGCACGGGAGCAAUCCUGGUGGCGAGUGGCGAACGGGUGAGUAAUAUAUCGGAACGUGCCCAGUCGUGGGGGAUAAGUAGCGAAAGCUACGCUAAAACCGCAUACGAUGUACGGAUGAAAGCGGGGGAGUUCCAGACCUCGCGCGAGUGGGACGGGCGAUAUCAGAUUAGGUAGUUGGUGGGGUAAAGGCGCACCAAGCCGACGAUCUGUAGCUGGUCCGAGAGGACGACCAGCCACACUGGGACUGAGACACGGCCCAGACUCCUACGGGAGGCAGCAGUGGGGAAUUUUGGACAAUGGGCGCAAGCCUGAUCCAGCAAUGCCGCGUGCAGGAUGAAGGCCUUCGGGUUGUAAACUGCUUUUGUACGGAACGAAACGGCGAGCUCUAAUACAGUUUGCUAAUGACGGUACCGUAAGAAUAGGCACCGGCUAACUACGUGCCAGCAGCCGCCGUAA